AACUCUCUCUCUUUCUGAUUGAGUGUAAGCUGCUAUAUGAAGGGAUCCACAAGACGAAUAAUUAAGGGGGACCUCUGAUCAACAGCCAGCAAGGAACUGAAUCCCUCAGACCCACAACUCACAAGAAACUGAAGCUGAAGCAGAUUCUUCCUCAGUCAAGCUUCAGGUGCCCAGCUGUAUUGGUAGAGGAGACCAACCACACCCUCCACAGCACAGCACCUGGAGAGGAACUGCUGCCAUGACCAUAGAGGACACCCUCUGGAUACAAUGCCAGACUUGAUGUGGGACUGACCAACCUAUGGACCCCAGGCACCACCACCCAGACCUGCUCAGCACCUGAAACAUUCACAGCCGUGGAGAGAGAACUGUUCACUGCUACCAUCCACACUUCUGGGCCCCUUCAGCAGCAGGGUGACAAGGAAGAGGGAAAUCGACUUGGAAAAGAGGGGACCUCUGACCCAAGAGUUCGGUCAAUGCAUAUGUUGGCAGCCAGCUGCACAUCGCACCAAAUAUGAACUUCAAAUAGAAGAAAGCCUCAUUUGGAAGAAAGCUCAUGCACAGACUGUAAAUAUUUCAGAGCAGAUUGUGUCUCUGUAGAUUAACCGGAUACAGUGGCUUGCACCUGUGGUCUCAGCGACUUGGGCGACUGAAGCAAGAAGAUCACUUGAGCCUAGGAGUUCGAGGCUACAGCAAGCUAUGACCGUGCCACUGCACUCCAGCCUGGGCGUGACAGACCAGCUCUUCUUCUGAAGGAUGACCACCUGGAAUAAGAGCAGCCCUAGGCCCCCCACCUCACUCCAGGUGGCAGAUCCACAGAGAUGGUAGCGAUACAGAAGCACAGCUUCCGAUGGCUUCCCCGUGUCUUCAGUUUGCAGCCUUAUUUCGGUGCUUGGACGUGCUUAACUUCUCAGGAUUAUAUUCUGCUUUGGAGUGCAAGGAGAAAGUCACAGUCUAGUUUUAUGAAGACCAAACUAGAGAAAAUCGAGUUAUCUUAAAGUGUAUGACAUCUCCACAAAUGAAUGUUUAUGGCUUUACACUUGGAGUGUUCUUGGAACACUCUUCAUAGCAAAUCCUCCCUCAGAAGACCCCCACCUGGCAUCAGAACAAACCGGUAAGAAUGAUCCUACUUCAAUAGAGUUGCUGUGAGGAUUCACUGAGAUCAUGUGUACCAAGCUCCUACAAUAGUACUGAACCCACAGCCAUGGAUCAAGACCAUUAACUUAUAAUCAGUGAUAGCCAAGAGGAUGGGAAGAGAAUAUUAAGCCUGGUGCUCUGCAAAUUAAUACUUGCAGAGAUAAAUAUGUGUAUGAUCAAGGCUAAGAAUCCGCAACCCAAGGGAGGAGAAUGAGAAAAGAUCGUAAUUUACAGCAGUUACCUCGAGCUUACUCAUCAGAACGCAGAUAGGUUUAAUGGCUUAUUCUAGAAAUGUGGGAACUCAGAAUUUCUGCAGCUUCGUUUUGUAAGCAGUAAAGGAAUUGCCCUGCAGCCUAUCGCAGCGGAAGGUUGGGAAGCCAGAUAUCCACAUUAUCUCACAUCACAUCACUGAGCUCUGUGGCCCAGUUCUGACUACAUGUUAGAAGCAGAAGUCUGCAGGGGAUGGCUUCUGAGAAAACUUGUAUUUAUUAUUUAAAUUUAACCUUCUAGCCUGGGAAUAAAUUCCAGCUUGCUUAGAACAAUACAGCACAGAAGAGAGCCUGAGUUCCUGGUGCAUCCCUGUGCCAGUGUCUCAAUCCUGCCCCACCGAUUUCCAAUUUCUUAUUAUGUGAAAAGCAACCCUCCCUUCUUUGAUUAAGUCAUUAUUGAUAGGGUUUUUUUGGUGACUUGCAUCCAAAUGCAUUCCUUAACUCAAACAAAAUAGAAGGGGAAUUCCACAUUCACACUGUUGCAUCAGACAAGCUCUGGCUUCUCAGAACUUUAGUUUUCCAUUUACUAGAGCUCAGAAUCAAAGAGACAGUAAAGAAACCCAUUUAAAAAUUGCUUGGCAUAUAUAUCUUGGGUGAUGGGACUUCAUGGGUAAUAUUUUUAAAAUUUCUUUGUGUAUUUUUCUUUUAUUGUCAAACGUUAUUAAAGAGACCAUAGAUACCUUUUGUAAUUAUAAUAAAAAACAAAAUGUUACUAAGAACAGUGAGAACUCUUAAGCUAACUACAAGAUAAUUAAUAUAUAACUGCAAAAUAUAAAAUACCAAAGCCAUUUUCAAAUAAAGAAACAGAGCCACAUGAAACUUUGCAGUUUAGCCAAAGUCAUUUCAGGAUUCUGAAGCUGGGGAGGAAGCAAGGCUUACUUAGCCCGUGGCUAGAAUUCACUUUUGAAAACUCCAUUUUUGUCCAUUCCCUCUUAUCACUACUUGCUUGCAAGUUAGGAAACAAAUUAGAACAAAAGCAUUGUUUGUCGUCAGUGGUCAAUGUUCAUUGCUUUACCAGAGGCUCGGGAUUAGAAGAUUCUCAGAACCAGUUAGCUCCUGAUACAAUCGGGCCUUGAUAUGGUUUGGAUUUGUGUCCCCACCCAAAUCUCAUGUCGAAUUAGAGGAGGGGCCUGGUGGGAGGUGAUUGGAUCAUGGGGGCAGAUUUCCCUCUUGCUGUUCUCAUGAUAGUGACUGAGUUCUCAAAGAUCUUAGGGUUUAAAACUUUUGUGGCACUUCCAUCUUCGCUCUCUCUUCCUCUCUCAUGCUGCCAUGUGAAGAAGGUGCCUGCUUCCCCUUUGCUUUCUGCCAUGAUUGUACGUUUCCUGAGGCCUCCCAGUUGUGCUUCCUGAUAAGCCUAUGGAACUGUGAGUCAAUUAAAUCUCUUUUCUAUAUAAAUAA
rnacentral:lncRNA from 1 species